rnacentral:rRNA from 1 species
AACGUAGGAGACAAACGUUAUCCGGAGUUACUGGGCGUAAAGGGCGUGCAGGUGGUCUGUUAAGUCUGGCGUGAAAGCUCCUGGCUAAACCGGGAGAGGUCGUUGGAUACUGGCGGACUAGAGGACGGUAGAGGCGUGUGGAAUUCCGGGUGUAGUGGUGAAAUGCGUAGAGAUCCGGAGGAACACCAGUGGCGAAAGCGACUUUCUGGUCCUUAACUGACGCUGAGGAGCGAAAGCGUGGGGAGCAAACAGG